rnacentral:rRNA from 1 species
AGAAUGCUGCGGUGAAUGCGUUCCCGGGUCUUGUACACACCGCCCGUCACACCACGGGAGUUGGAGACGCCCGAAGCCGAUUAUCUAACCUUUUGGAAGAAGUCGUCGAAGGUGGAAUCAAUAACGGGGGUGAAGUCGUAACAAGGUAGCCGUAUCGGAAGGUGCGGCUGGAUCACCUCCUUUCUAAGGAGA